ACAUGUGCCUGACUUCCUGCUGGUCUGGGAGACCCCGAGGGAUCCCCAGCCCCGGCCCGGACCCCCAUCACUCACUGCAUCAAUGUUGCCUUUAAUGACUUCAAUCCUCCCUGCAAAGAACAGGAAGAUGGCACCCUGCAAUGACACACAUGUAAGUCCGUGUGGGUCCGUGGGGUCUGUGGGUGUUUGUGGGCUGGGGGUACCGGGCAGCACAUGGGGCUCACCUUAGGGUACCGGUUCAGGUAG
rnacentral:lncRNA from 1 species